UUGGAGGGCAAGUCUGGUGCCAGCAGCCGCGGUAAUUCCAGCUCCAAUAGCGUAUAUUAAAGUUGUUGCAGUUAAAAGGCUCGUAGUUGAAUUUCAGGGUCUAUCUAUCGGUCGGGCUUUGUUGUCCGCACUGAUUUGAUGGAUCCUUACCUUCUGAAUAACCUUCAUGCCGCUAAGUUGGUGCGUUGGGGAAGCAGAGCUAUUACCUUGAAAAAAUUAGAGUGCUUAAAGCGGGCUAUCGCUUGAAUAGAUUAGCAUGGAAUAAUGAAAUAGGACGGCAUGGUUCUAUUUUGUUGGUUUCUAGGAUCACCGUAAUGAUUAAUAGGGAUAGUUGGGGGCAUUAGUAUUCAAUUGUCAGAGGUAAAAUUCUUGGAUUUAUUGAAGACUAACUACCGCGAAAGCAUUUGCCAAGGAUGUUUUCAUUAAUCAAGAACGAAAGUUAGGGGAUCGAGGACGAUCAGAUACCGUCGUAGUCUUAACCAUAAACUAUGCCGACUAGGGAUCGGACGAAGUUAAUUUUUUAAUGACUCGUUCGGCGCCUUACGGGAAAC
rnacentral:rRNA from 1 species